ACUUCUGACAAACAGAAUAAAGAGGAAGUGACAGAACCAAAAAUCCAGGCAGAUUCCUGAAGCUUGCAGACUGCUGGGAACCAGCAACACAGAACAUUGUUUUAGAAAGAGGAAAGCGAAGACUUUGCUUUAUAAGGCUCUUGCAGUCACUGCUAGAGGAUUCUCAAACUCACAGGAACAUUUGGAAACCACUGUAAGCUUUCACAAAGUGCUUUCAUAUACUUUAAUAUAGAUUGCUCUUGGUAUCUAUGAUAAGUUUGUGAGAUAUGUAAGAUGGGGAAACUAAGAUGCAAUGAGAAUAAGAGUGUUGCAAAAAGUCACAAAACUCAGUAGUAUGAGACCCAGUCAUCAGAUCCCAGCAGAAGCUCAUGACAUCAUGCCAAGUUCUGUUUGUACUUUGGAAAUAGUCUAAAAGGAGAUGGUCAUUUCUCCACUCAGUGUUAGGAUCAUCACUCAGGGUUAAGGUGAAUAAAACUUACUCACCCUCACACCAUUGACUGUAUGGGUCUGCUGUUUUUGGCUACACAGUGUCCAUCCUUGUAGGGACCCACCCUCCUCCAUUGGAUAUAGCCUGGUGGGACAGUUGAUGGAAGUAUCCUACUCUCUCCUUCCAAGGAUGAACUUUUGAGUAAAUAGGUCAUUGAAUGCUCCCUUCCAGGAAUCUUAAUUUAAACCAAGGAUUGAGUAGAAUGAAAA
rnacentral:lncRNA from 10 species